rnacentral:rRNA from 1 species
GAUGAACGCUGGCGGCGUGCCUAAUACAUGCAAGUCGAGCGAACAGACGAGGAGCUUGCUCCUCUGACGUUAGCGGCGGACGGGUGAGUAACACGUGGAUAACCUACCUAUAAGACUGGGAUAACUUCGGGAAACCGGAGCUAAUACCGGAUAAUAUAUUGAACCGCAUGGUUCAAUAGUGAAAGACGGUUUUGCUGUCACUUAUAGAUGGAUCCGCGCCGCAUUAGCUAGUUGGUAAGGUAACGGCUUACCAAGGCAACGAUGCGUAGCCGACCUGAGAGGGUGAUCGGCCAAACUGGAACUGAGACACGGUCCAGACACCUACGGGAGGCAGCAGUAGGGAAUCUUCCGCAAUGGGCGAAAGCCUGACGGAGCAACGCCGCGUGAGUGAUGAAGGUCUUCGGAUCGUAAAACUCUGUUAUUAGGGAAGAACAAAUGUGUAAGUAACUAUGCACGUCUUGACGGUACCUAAUCAGAAAGCCACGGCUAACUACGUG